rnacentral:rRNA from 1 species
CAUCGAGACUCCUACGGGAGGCAGCAGUGGGGAAUAUUGCACAAUGGGCGCAAGCCUGAUGCAGCCAUGCCGCGUGUGUGAAGAAGGCCUUCGGGUUGUAAAGCACUUUCAGUUGUGAGGAAGGUGGUGUCGUUAAUAGCGGCAUCAUUUGACGUUAGCAACAGAAGAAGCACCGGCUAACUCCGUGCCAGCAGCCGCGGUAAUACGGAGGGUGCGAGCGUUAAUCGGAAUUACUGGGCGUAAAGCGCAUGCAGGUGGUUUGUUAAGUCAGAUGUGAAAGCCCCGGGGCUCAACCUCGGAACUGCAUUUGAAACUGGCAGACUAGAGUACUGUAGAGGGGGUAGAAUUUCAGGUGUAGCGGUGAAAUGCGUAGAGAUCUGAAGGAAUACCGGUGGCGAAGGCGGCCCCCUGGACAGAUACUGACACUCAGAUGCGAAAGCGUGGGGAGCAAACAGGAUUAGAUACCCUGGUAG